rnacentral:rRNA from 1 species
AAAGUUGAAAAGAACUUUGAAGAGAGAGUUCAAGAGUACGUGAAACCGUUCAGGGGUAAACCUGAGAAACCCAAAAGAUCGAAUGGGGAGAUUCAUCGUCAGCUUAUUCAAUAUAUGUAUAAGUUAUGAUGUAGAUUAUGUUUAUUGUUUAUUCAGUAAACUAAUUUUCACAUGCUUGUAUUAUUUUAUUGUUGAAUAUUGUCGGCGUGCACUUCUCCCCUAGUAGGACGUCGCGACCCGUUGAGUGUCGGUUUACGGCCCGAUUGUGUUGCCUUUAAUUGUAAUAUAUUAAAGACCAAUUGGUGUUACCUAACCGACUGCUCGGCGGUCCUCGUACGGUAUUGAGUCGCAAUAUUAUUUUGCGUUUACACCCAUUUACAAUUCUUAUAUUGUUAUGGUGUUCUGUAACUGACUCUUCAAUAUAAAUUACCGGUCGGCGAUGCUACUGCUUUGGGUACUUUCAGGACCCGUCUUGAAACACGGACCAAGGAGUCUAACAUGUGCGCAAGUCAUUGGGAUUUUUUUAUUAAAAUUAAACCUAAAGGCAUAAUGAAAGUAAAGAUUGACCUUGUGUUAAUUGAGGGAGGAUGAGUCGUGUUACGAUACGAUUCCGCACUCCCGGGGCGUCUCAUUCUCAUUACGAGAAGAGGCGCACCUAGAGCGUACACGUU